CGUGACCUUGGGAUGACCUUGG
rnacentral:miRNA from 1 species